rnacentral:rRNA from 1 species
GGCAGCAGUGAGGAAUUUUCUGCAAUGGGCGAAAGCCUGACAGAGCAAUACCGCGUGAGGGAUGAAGACUUACUGAGUUGUAAACCUCGGUACCUUAAGGAAGAAGAUCUGACGGUACUUAAGGUGGAAAGCAUCGGCUAACUCCAUGCCAGCAGCCGCGGUAAGACGGAGGGUGCAAGUGUUACCCGGAAUUACUGGGCGUAAAGCGUCUGCAGGCGGUUUGUUAAGUCUAAUGUUAAAUCUUGGGGCUCAACCUCGGAUCUGCAUUUGAAACUGCAAGACUUGAGUGUCGGAGAGGGAAACGGAAUUCCUGGUGUAGAGGUGAAAUGCGUAGAUAUUGGGAAGAACACCGGUGGCGAAUGCGCUUUCCUGGACUAUUACUGACACUCAGACACGAAAGCUUGGGGAGCAAAUGGGAUUAGAUACCCUGGUAGUCCUCGCCGUAAACGAUGAAUGCUCGGUGUUGGACGUAUCGACCCCUGCAGUGUCUUAGCUAACGCGUUAAGUAUUCCGCCUGGGGAGUACGGUCGCAAGGCUGAAACUCAAAUGAAUUGACGG